UACGAGAGGCCCAAACGUUAUGCGGAAUUACUGGGCUUAAAGAGUUCGUAGGCGGCGCAGAAAGUAGGGUGUGAAAGCCCUCGGCUCAACCGAGGAAUUGCGCCCUAAACUACUGUGCUUGAGGAACCUAGAGGUGAGCGGAACUGAUGGUGGAGCGGUGAAAUGCGUUGAUAUCAUCAGGAACACCGGAGGCGAAGGCGGCUCACUGGGGGUUAUCUGACGCUGAGGAACGAAAGCCAGGGGAGCGAACGGG
rnacentral:rRNA from 1 species